UACAGAGGGUGCAAGCGUUAAUCGGAAUUACUGGGCGUAAAGCGAGCGUAGUCGGUUAUUUAAGUCGGAUGUGAAAUCCCCGGGCUCAACCUGGGAAUUGCAUUCGAUACUGGAUAGCUAGAGUUCGGCAGAGGGAAGCGGAAUUUCGGGUGUAGCGGUGAAAUGCGUAGAUAUCUGGAGGAACACCGGUGGCGAAGGCGGCAUCCUGGACCAACACUGACGCUGAGGAGCGAAAGCCAGGGGAGCAAACGGG
rnacentral:rRNA from 1 species